AUACUUACCUGGCAGGGGAGAUACCAUGAUCACGAAGGUGAUUUUCCCAGGGCGAGGCUUAUCCAUUGCACUCCGGAUGUGCUGACCCCUGCGAUUUCCCCAAAUGUGGGAAACUCGACUGCAUAAUUUGUGGUAGUGGGGGACUGCGUUCGCGCUUUCCCCUG
rnacentral:snRNA from 1 species